rnacentral:rRNA from 1 species
AGUGAACGCUGGCGGUAGGCCUAACACAUGCAAGUCGAACGGCAGCACAGUAAGAGCUUGCUCUUACGGGUGGCGAGUGGCGGACGGGUGAGGAAUACAUCGGAAUCUACUUUUUCGUGGGGGAUAACGUAGGGAAACUUACGCUAAUACCGCAUACGACCUACGGGUGAAAGCAGGGGAUCUUCGGACCUUGCGCGAUUGAAUGAGCCGAUGUCGGAUUAGCUAGUUGGCGGGGUAAAGGCCCACCAAGGCGACGAUCCGUAGCUGGUCUGAGAGGAUGAUCAGCCACACUGGAACUGAGACACGGUCCAGACUCCUACGGGAGGCAGCAGUGUGGAAUAUUGGACAAUGGGCGCAAGCCUGAUCCAGCCAUACCGCGUGGGUGAAGAAGGCCUUCGGGUUGGAAAGCCCUUUUGUUGGGAAAGAAAAGCAGCAGGUUAAUACCCCGCUGUUCUGACGGUACCCAAAGAAUAAGCACCGGCUAACUUCGUG